GACGAACGCUGGCGGCGUGCUUAACACAUGCAAGUCGAACGGAAAGGCCCUGCUUUUGUGGGGUGCUCGAGUGGCGAACGGGUGAGUAACACGUGAGUAACCUGCCCUUGACUUUGGGAUAACUUCAGGAAACUGGGGCUAAUACCGGAUAGGAGCUCCUGCUGCAUGGUGGGGGUUGGAAAGUUUCGGCGGUUGGGGAUGGACUCGCGGCUUAUCAGCUUGUUGGUGGGGUAGUGGCUGACCAAGGCUUUGACGGGUAGCCGGCCUGAGAGGGUGACCGGCCACAUUGGGACUGAGAUACGGCCCAGACUCCUACGGGAGGCGGCAGUGGGGAAUAUUGCACAAUGGGCGGAAGCCUGAUGCAGCAACGCCGCGUGCGGGAUGACGGCCUUCGGGUUGUAAACCGCUUUCGCCUGUGACGAAGCGUGAGUGACGGUAAUGGGUAAAGAAGCACCGGCUAACUACGUG
rnacentral:rRNA from 1 species